rnacentral:rRNA from 1 species
GACGAACGCUGGCGGCAUGCCUUACACAUGCAAGUCGAACGGCAGCGGACCUUCGGGUGCCGGCGAGUGGCGAACGGGUGAGUAAUGUAUCGGAACGUACCUUUCAGUGGGGGAUAACGUAGCGAAAGUUACGCUAAUACCGCAUAUUCUGUGAGCAGGAAAGCAGGGGAUCGCAAGACCUUGCGCUGAUUGAGCGGCCGAUAUCAGAUUAGCUAGUUGGUGAGGUAAAGGCUCACCAAGGCGACGAUCUGUAGCGGGUCUGAGAGGAUGAUCCGCCACACUGGAACUGAGACACGGUCCAGACUCCUACGGGAGGCAGCAGUGGGGAAUUUUGGACAAUGGGGGCAACCCUGAUCCAGCCAUGCCGCGUGGGUGAAGAAGGCCUUCGGGUUGUAAAGCUCUUUCGUCCGGGAAGAAAUCCCAUCAGCUAAUACCUGGUGUGGAUGACGGUACCGGAAUAAGAAGCACCGGCUAACUACGUGCCAGCAGCCGCCGUAAUAC